rnacentral:ncRNA from 1 species
GCUAAGGCCCCUAAAUAAUGGCUUAGUGAUAGAGGAGGUAGGGGUGCAGAGACAUUCAGGAGGUUUUCCUAGAAGUAGCCACCCUUGAAAGAGUGCGUAAUAACUUAUUGAUCGAGCGCUCUUACACCAAAGAUGUACGGGGAUGCGUUGACAUUACCCUUUUGC